rnacentral:rRNA from 1 species
GACAGAGGGUGCAAACGUUGUUCGGAAUUACUGGCGUAAAGCGAGUGUAGGCGGUUCUCAAAGUCGGAUGUGAAAGCCCCGGGCUCAACCCGGGAAGUGCACCCGAUACUGGAGAGCUAGAGUGUCGGAGAGGUUGGUGGAAUUCUCGGUGUAGAGGUGAAAUUCGUAGAUAUCGAGAGGAACACCGGUGGCGAAGGCGGCCAACUGGACGAAACACUGACGCUGAGACUCGAAAGCGUGGGGAGCAAACAGGA